CCUGCCCUGCUCCACCCCCUCAAGGUAAUCUUCCCCUGAUUUCUGUCACCUGUGACUGUGCCUAUUUAAACCAGCUCCUGCAUCACAGCCUUGCCGGAACGUCUCAGCCUUACAGCCAUGACUACCUGCUCCUGAAAAGCUCCAGACCCUGUUCAUCCAUUCCAUUUCAAAUCUGACCUGACCUGGCCUGUUCAGACCUGACCUGUUUCUGCCUCACGACCACCCGUUCAGCCUGCUCCCCUUUAGCCUUUUGUGAGUACCUCUCUACAUUUCUCCUGGAUUGAUUCCCGUGUACCAGACCUUCCUUCAGCCUUGGACCUCCCUUCUGGACCACGGACAUUUCACCCCCCUCCUCCUCCUCCCUUUGCUGCUGUGUUUCCUGUUGCCUCAUCCUGAGCAGAGAUCACACUCCAAUCCUCCCAGCCACUACUCCAUCUUCAAGACAAGUUCUGCACCUCCUGGUGGCUGGAGGAGAUCCCUAGACUGACUCACCUGUUCCUGCUUAUCCUCCUGCAGCCUUAAAUAAAUCUUUGUCAUCUG